rnacentral:rRNA from 1 species
AGAAUCAACGCUGGCGGCGUGCCUAACACAUGCAAGUCGAACGAGAAAGUGGAGCAAUCCAUGAGUAAAGUGGCGACCGGGUGAGUAACACGUGACUAACCUACCUUCGAGUGGGGGAUAACCUCGGGAAACCGAGGCUAAUACCGCAUAACAUCGCAAGAUCAAAGCAGCAAUGCGCUGGAAGAGGGGGUCGCGGCUGAUUAGCUAGUUGGCGGGGUAACGGCCCACCAAGGCGAAGAUCGGUAGCCGGCCUGAGAGGGCGCGCGGCCACACUGGAACUGAAACACGGUCCAGACUCCUACGGGAGGCAGCAGUGGGGAAUUUUGCGCAAUGGGGGGAAACCCUGACGCAGCAACGCCGCGUGGAGGAUGAAGCCCCUUGGGGCGUAAACUCCUUUCGACCAAGACGAUAAUGACGGUACUGGUGGAAGAAGCACCGGCUAACUCUGUGCCAGCAGCCGC